AGCGAACGCUGGCGGCAGGCUUAACACAUGCAAGUCGAGCGGGCAUCCUUGUGGUGUCAGCGGCAGACGGGUGAGUAACGCGUGGGAACGUGCCCUUCGGUUCGGAAUAACUCAGGGAAACUUGAGCUAAUACCGGAUACGUGCGAGAGCAGAAAGGUUUAUCUGCCGAAGGAUCGGCCCGCGUCUGAUUAGCUAGUUGGUGAGGUUACGGCUCACCAAGGCGACGAUCAGUAGCUGGUCUGAGAGGAUGAUCAGCCACACUGGGCCUGAGACACGGCCCCGACUCCUACGGGAGGCAGCAGUGGGGAAUAUUGGACAAUGGGGGCAACCCUGAUCCAGCCAUGCCGCGUGAGUGAUGACGGCCUUAGGGUUGUAAAGCUCUUUUCUCCGGGACGAUAAUGACGGUACCGGAUGAAUAAGCCCCGGCUAACUUCGUG
rnacentral:rRNA from 1 species